rnacentral:rRNA from 1 species
CCUAUACAUGCAAGUCGAACGCACUCUCGUUUAGAUUGAAGGAGCUUGCUCCUGAUUGAUAAACAUUUGAGUGAGUGGCGGACGGGUGAGUAACACGUGGGUAACCUGCCCUAAAGUGGGGGAUAACAUUUGGAAACAGAUGCUAAUACCGCAUAAAACCUAACACCGCAUGGUGUAGGGUUGAAAGAUGGUUUCGGCUAUCACUUUAGGAUGGACCCGCGGUGCAUUAGUUAGUUGGUGAGGUAAAGGCUCACCAAGACCGUGAUGCAUAGCCGACCUGAGAGGGUAAUCGGCCACACUGGGACUGAGACACGGCCCAGACUCCUACGGGAGGCAGCAGUAGGGAAUCUUCCACAAUGGACGAAAGUCUGAUGGAGCAACGCCGCGUGAGUGAAGAAGGUUUUCGGAUCGUAAAACUCUGUUGUUGGAGAAGAAUGUAUCUGAUAGUAACUGAUCAGGUAGUGACGGUAUCCAACCAGAAAGCCACGGCUAACUACGUGCCAGCAGCCGCGGUAAUACGUAGGUGGCAAGCGUUGUCCGGAUUUAUUGGGCGUAAAGCGAGCGCAGGCGGUUUCUUAAGUCUGAUGUGAAAGCCUUCGGCUCAACCGAAGAAGUGCAUCGGAAACUGGGAAACUUGAGUGCAGAAGAGGACAGUGGAACUCCAUGUGUAGCGGUGAAAUGCGUAGAUAUAUGGAAGAACACCAGUGGCGAAGGCGGCUGUCUGGUCUGUAACUGACGCUGAGGCUCGAAAGCAUGGGUAGCAAACAGGAUUAGAUACCCUGGUAGUCCAUGCCGUAAACGAUGAGUGCUAGGUGUUGGAGGGUUUCCGCCCUUCAGUGCCGCAGCUAACGCAUUAAGCACUCCGCCUGGGGAGUACGACCGCAAGGUUGAAACUCAAAGGAAUUGACGGGGGCCCGCACAAGCGGUGGAGCAUGUGGUUUAAUUCGAAGCAACGCGAAGAACCUUACCAGGUCUUGACAUCCUUUGACCACUCUAGAGAUAA